UGCUAUCUAUAUGUUGAAGAAUCUUUUGG
rnacentral:piRNA from 1 species